UAUAAGGCGGCCGGUUGCAACCAUGUAAAUGGUUUGUAAGCGAAACGAGUAAAAGGGCUGGGCGAGCAGUUCUUGAGAGCGGCGAAAGGGAAAGUAACGCGUAUUUAUGUGCCCCGAGGUCCGGAAUACCCACGGGAAACUGUGGGUAAUGCCGGAUAAUAUCUCUGGAUCAAAGGUGUGAUUCCGCCUUGGGAGCAAACUGCGUCGUACUAGCUUGUUGGUGGGGUAAUGGCCUACCAAGGCAAUGAUGCGUAGCGGGUGUGAAAGCAUGACCCGUCUCACUGGGACUGAAACACUGCCCAAACACCUACGGGUGGCUGCAGUCAAAAAUCUUCGGCAAUGGGCGAAAGCCUGACCGAGCGACGCCGCGUGCGGAAUGAAGGCCUUCGGGUUGUAAACCGCGAAAGUAGGGAGGAAGGCUUCGCGAAAAGCGAGGUUUGACCGAUCUACAGUAGGGACGGGCUAAGUACGUG
rnacentral:rRNA from 1 species